UACGAGGGGAGCAAGCGUUGUUCGGAUUUACUGGGCGUAAAGGGCGCGUAGGCGGCGUGACAAGUCACUUGUGAAAUCUCCGGGCUUAACUCGGAACGGUCAAGUGAAACUGUCGUGCUAGAGUACAGAAGGGGCAACUGGAAUUCUCGGUGUAGCGGUGAAAUGCGUAGAUAUCGAGAGGAACACCUGCGGCGAAGGCGGGUUGCUGGGCUGAUACUGACGCUGAGGCACGAAGGCCAGGGGAGCAAACGGG
rnacentral:rRNA from 1 species